rnacentral:lncRNA from 1 species
UCAAAUAAAUUUCUAGAAUCUAAAACGAUAAAUAGGCAAUCGACAUUAUUUACAUAAUACAUUAAUAACCCAGCGUACAUACGGUGAAUAUUAAAUAAAAAAAACUAAAUAAACAGAAAUGCUAAUAAACAUGCUUUACCAUUGUAACAAUUUUCCGAAUGGUGUCAGGUCAAGUGAAUGUAAGGAGCUUUUGCUAUAAAAUAGUGUGGCGUCACACUGUGUCAUAUGUCCCAUAAACAAUACCGUAUGUCUACAAAGGAAUGGUUCACGAGAGGCUUCUGGCAGUAAUAAAUUGUCAUGAUACAUCUGGACAAGGGUUUCAAGAUUUAAUAAGAGAAGUUGCACAAAAAAACGGGCUAAGCAUAAACAAAUGUAUUGCUGAUUCAACAGAUGGUGCUGCUAACAUGCAAGGGAAAUAUAGCGGAUUUACUAUUUUCUUUCAGAGUCAUAGAAGAGUCAUACAAGAGAAUGGAUAUUUGGAAAAAAAAGGUCACAAGAUCCAAAACUUAGAGUACUACAAACUAUAGGAGAAACCCGAUGGUGGUCGAAAGAGACCACUGUCGCGAUACCUUCAAACGAAAGGUCUAGACCUAAUUAAAGCCAACGCGAUGAUUAAGACAUCAAUACAACAUUUAAAAGCCAUUCAGAGGGAUAUGGAAUGGAUCACAAAAUUUGUUAGUGAUUUCAUGUCUUCAGUUAAUGACGAACUAGAUGACCGUCAAUUGGCCAUUGAAUUAGAAAACGAUUUUCUGAAGACAAGAAAAAGAGGAGUUUAAAAGUUUUUUGACGAAAAUACGUCUGACGAAGCUCCUCAAGACGAACAUAAAAGUUUUCAGGUUAAAACAUACAAUGUGAUUAUGGAUAUGGUAUGUGAGUCAAUGUCGAACAUAGGUAUGCCCAGAAUAUAGAUCUCUGUGCUGAACUAGCUAUUUUUAAUCCAGCAUAUUUUAAAGAAAUAAAGGCAAACAGUUCGCUACCUGACAAAAGUAUGCAUUUGAUAGCUAAUUUAGUUGCAAAAUUUAAUAACAACGCGACGCCUGACAGAAUUAAGGAAGAGUUAAUAAGUUUUGCUGCUAACUGGGACCUUUACAAGUUAUCUCUUUAAGAAACGUUUGCUAAAAUCGAUAUUUCCAAUCGUAGCGAUAGCGAUGACAGUGAAGGGGAGGAUGAUAGAGACGAUGUGCAAGGAGAUUGGAAAGAUACAAUUACAGUUUGCUCUUGCAGGAAUUGCGUGUAUUGCUGUUACAUUGCUAUUUUAAAAUAUAACUUGUAUCAGGAGGCGUAUUCAGUCUUAGCAACGGUGUAUCAAUACAUGUUGAGUUUGCCAAUAACCCAGGUGUCAUGUGAGAGAUCAUUUUCCAUUCUCAAAUACAUUAAGAAUAGACUAAGAAAUAGAUUAAGUGAUAAUUUGCUUGAAUCUUUCAUGCUUAUGAAUAUAGAAAGAUCUCUACUUAAUCAAAUAGAUAAUGAAGAUAUUAUAAAUGAGGUGGCAGAGUCCAGUACCUUGUAUAAAAAAAGUUUAAUGUACUGAGUUUUUUUGCAUUUUCUAUGUUUUGUUUGAGAGUUCGUUGUUCCUUUUUCAUUUUCUUAU